AUGAACGCUGGCGGCGUGCUUUAGGCAUGCAAGUCGAACGGAUUUUGUCGCAAGAUAGAAUUAGUGGCGGACGGGUGAAUACAAGCAAGGAAUGUACCCUUUAGUGUGACAUAGCUCACCUAAAGGUGGGGUAAUAUCGCAUAAUCCCGCAAGGGUAAAGCGCUUAACCGCGCGCUUAAGGAGCAGCCUUGCUCCCAUCAGCUCGUUGGUAGGGUAAUGGCCUACCAAGGCUACGACGGGUAGGGGGUGUGAGAGCACGACCCCCCACAAUGGCACUGAGAUACGGGCCAUACGUCUACGGACGGCAGCAACCGGGAAUAUUCGGCAAUGGACGCAAGUCUGACCGAGCGACGCCGCGUGAGGGAUGAAGGCUUUCGGGUCGUAAACCUCUUUUGCCCCGCCAUGAAGGUGGGGAGAAUAAGCACCUACAAACUACGU
rnacentral:rRNA from 1 species